UAUUAUCACAGUAAGUCCGAAGUAGAAGAGCUUUAGCAGGCAGAGCUAACAGCUCCACCUUGGGAAACCCCAGUUUCCCAAAGAGUCUGUUCCUGUUCUGAUGCACUGCACUGGUACAAGGGUGGGGGUGAUUCCUGCCAGCCACACGAGGUACAGUGAGCAGCCCCCUCCUAUGGAUUUCCCUAGCAGGAAAGCCACAGCACGAGCUUUGUGGCAGCCCUGGGGGAUUCACACGCAGCAGGUGCUACAGAUGUCCCUGGGCAAAGGGGCUCCAGCUGCGCUGGCAGCUGCUGGUCCUGCCAAGGGCUCUGGGAUGCUGCAAGCACCCACCGCUGACCCAGCUGUAUCCUGUGUUAACCUGGGAAAGAGAAGCUGCGAAGACAGGUAGAAGCCAACUUUUCUACAAUCCUGGUGCCCCGGGCUAAGCUCGUCUCUGAUUUGGGUACCUGGCUUACACGGGUGCCAGGCUGCUGUAGGUCAUGGCGCUAUUUAUUUUCGACAAGAUCAACAUGAAACUGGGAGAGGAGAAGUGGAAGAGUUCUGAAGAAAUAGAGACCUCUUCCCUCUCAGGACAGGAUUUGUGCUCUAGAGCUUUCUCAGACUCUUCAGCAUGAGCUCAGUCCUUGCAGAUAUCUGACAAACUCCUGCCAUUAAAGUUUAGAGUAAGCAGAGGUGAUGUGUGACACGUUAAAUGUUGCUAAUGAGCAUCAGGUGUUUGCAGGGAAAAAUGGCUCCUCGUCUUAGAUAUGGUAAUUAUUUAAAAGAUCUAUUUAGCAUUUAGAUUGCUUGGGGGGAAAAGAGCUUGGAAAAGUUGAUUGCCUUGAAAAAUGCUCCGGUACCAAGUGGCUCUCUUUGAACAUUGCUUUCAUCUCCUCAGAAAGAAAGCAGAGGAGACACUUCAUCUUGGGGCAAUUAGAGGGACUUUGACAUCAUUGUCCUUGUAAACAGCGUUACAACAGGCAGCCUCCAGUUAAAGAACCGUUUAGGAGAGAUAAAAUUGAGAGAUUGAACAAUCUGCACUGAAGCUCUGAGAGGAGCUGGGAAAGUACAGCUUGAACAUUCCCACCGUAAUUCCACCCCACGCAGAAGACCCUUUGGUACAUUUUUAGACUUUGCCACACCUGUUGCAUAUUUAAUUCUCCAUUUUCAUCAACAGGCUGCCACAUCAUCAGCUCUCACACGCUGAGUGAUUUAGCCUAAACAAACCUCAGUGAUUUAGCCUAAACAAACCUCAGACCUACUUCAGCACUUCCCUGUCUAUUGCUUUUCUGCUUGCCACAACACUGGGAACAACACUGCAUGUCUUCAGCAGGGGUGAAAUGCCAGCCAUCACCUUCAAAACACACCAGCAUUGACAUGAUUUCUGGCUUGCUCUCAUUAUAUGUUGGGAGGACUGGGAAACAAGGUAUUUUGGUGUCCCUCUUUGAAACUGCUGUGGGCACUUCCAAACUACAGCUUUGCUGCAAGGCCAGUUCUGUACCCAGCUGCUGGAGGGAAGCCAAUAGCAGAGAGCAGCAGGUCCACAGUGCAGAACUACACAACCACCAGGAGACCCCAUGGCAGCCCCAAGGGGCAAUGACAAGAAAUGCCAAGGCGGGAGGUGAAAAGGGGCCUCAAAAGCUGGGAUGAAGCCUGGAAUGCUCACAAUCACUAUGCUCGCAAGGAGCUCAGGCUGCUUGAGAAGGGCACACUGAAAUCCACCCAUCAGCUGAGACUGGGAUGGGGAAAGGCAAAGCAGCCCUGAGCUCUUGAACAAAAAAUUCAGGGAGAAGAGCCAUUGGGAAAAGAAAGUAGACAUACCUGGAAGUGCAGAGGGAUUCAUGGGUGGCCUUUUGGGUCAGUGAACCCAUUUUGUUCAUUUCAGGCUCAUGAAUUUGUGCCUCCCCCAGGCACUGGCCAGCUCAUCAGCCAGCACACUGCUGCUGUUACUGCCAAGCUCAGCUCUGCUGCAGGCAAUGGUAACUGUACUAGUUUCCAUGGAAAUCGAAGAGAGAGAAGCUGGUUUCCACCAAAAUCACAUUCAAAACACAAUUUUGUCCCAAGUGGAUUAUUUUGUUAUCUUUGCUCUCAUUCUUGUUUUUUCCUACCAUGCAGUACAGAUGAAACUGAAUUUAUUUUAACAACUCAGAUUUGUAAAGCACAGUUUCAUCAAUAAGUCAAGCAGAAGUUGCUAUUUCCAUUCAGAUGGGAUGUUUGAAAAUAAGGCAAGUCUGAACACUUCACCAGUGUCAUUUUCAGCACAGAAAUACUACCUUGUUCUGGCCUGGUUUUAAUUACUGGUCAGUCACUGGUGAGAUUUAAGCAGUAUUUCUCAAACAGAUGCAGAUCAGUCAAAAAACCAAAAGGUUGUUCACUUCCCUCAUGUCCCCAGGCUUCCCUUGCCCCGUGGCUCUUUUGCAACAUGCUGCAGCAAAGAAACAUUUUUUAACACAGCUCUAGACUAUAUCACAGCUGUUUGCAAAACACCUUACAGAAACAAAGCCCUAAAAUGGGGAUGGCUGCUACCUUGCACCCCAGCUGGGAGAGUGAUGGAAAGGCAAUGCCUCCUGUCCACACAUGGGCACAGAGUUCUCCACUGGAGAAGCAGAGCCAGAAGCCCAGCAUGCUGCAAAUAUCCUGUUUAUUUUCAUAGGGCACUGUACUGCUGAUUUUUUGCCACUAUAGAAGCAAAACAAAGACAUUGAAAACAAGUUUUGUUUCAGGUAGAUCUAAACAUCUAAUUUCAAUAUUUGCAGUUCUCCAGGACUUAUCUG